ensembl:lncRNA
GCAGAUGAGGAGAGAAGCGGGCACCAGUAGUGGGGGGAAUGGUAGGGCUCACCCGAACACCAGGAAGAUGAAACCAACCCUCGGGAGCAUUUUCCUGGGAUUCCCUGGCACGAUUCUCCGAGACCUCAGAAAGCUCUGCUUCCACCCACAAGGAUGAGAGGACCUUCCGCAGAGAGCCAUGGUAGGAGGGGUGAGUGGAGGGCCCUCCUUGCCAGCUGCUUGUAGUUUCUAAAUCCAGGAAGUGGAGGACUCCGCAGGAAACAGGCACUGGACACAGCGGCUGACACAGAGGCCUUCCCAUGACUGAAGAAGAAAGCGAAGCUUUUCACAAUACUGCUAAAAUAUCAGUGUUUGCAGCAGUUGCUACAGAAACACAUGGACUGAGUGUAGAAUCUGAAAUAGACCGUCUAGACUAACUCCUACUGUCUGACCUUUGAUGUAUUUCCUAAUCCACCGGCCCUUGCCAAGCAAAUUGGUGACUAAGCAGCAAUUCACUUUACAUGCUGUCAUGAGGUCUGACGAG